UUACGGUCAAAUCACGCUGAAAACACCGGUUCUCGUUCGAUCACCGAAGUUAAGCAUCGUAGAGCCAGGUCAGUACUUAGAUGGGGGGCCGCUUGGAAACACCUGGUACUGUAAG
rnacentral:rRNA from 1 species